rnacentral:rRNA from 1 species
UACAGAGGGGGCAAGCGUUAUUCGGAAUUAUUGGGCGUAAAGGGCGCGCAGGCGGCUACGCACGUCCGUUGUGAAAUCGCUCGGCUCAACUGGGCGGGGUCAGCGGAUACGGCGUAGCUGGAGCAAGCUAGGGGGCAAUGGAAUUCCCAGUGUAGCGGUGAAAUGCGUAGAUAUUGGGAGGAACACCAGUGGCGAAGGCGGCUCACUGGACCGGAACUGACGCUGAGGCGCGAAAGCGUGGGGAGCAAACAGG